ACCAACACUGGCUAUCGUAUUCAGAGACUGAAGACUGUCCAGUGCAGUGGAGGAGUACGGUGAUGUCCCCGGCCAAACUUCACGAACAGCCCAAAAACCCGAAGACAAUCUGUGUUAGUGAGUGGACAGCUCUUUGGGGGAGUGCAGAGAGGCCCAGUCUCUUAUCAACAGAAACAUGAACUGGGUAAGAAGUGAUGAAUCUGAAUAUCAGUUGGUCUGUUAUGUACUGUAAUAUCCGGCAAGCUACCUGUUAAAAGAACAUUUACUCUAUCAUAUUACAUGAACUGCUUGCUUUAUUUUCUCCACCUUGUACUUUGAACAAUUUCAUGCAUAUUGAAGAAAAAUGCAUUAAGCAUACUCUUUUUGUAUUUUUUAAUUUUUUGUAACUCCUUUUGCUGUGCAAUUUUGUAUUGCACAGCUGAUAUGUCAGACCUUUUGAAAAGCAAUAUGUAAAUGAAAGCGACUUGUGGAACAUGCACAUUAUUCCACGUUGUAAUAUGUUUUGUAAUUAUGGUGCACAUUUUGAAAUAAAUGCAUUUGAGAAAA